rnacentral:rRNA from 1 species
UACGAAGGGGGCUAGCGUUGCUCGGAAUCACUGGGCGUAAAGGGUGCGUAGGCGGGUCUUUAAGUCAGGGGUGAAAUCCUGGAGCUCAACUCCAGAACUGCCUUUGAUACUGAAGAUCUUGAGUUCGGGAGAGGUGAGUGGAAUUCCGAGUGUAGAGGUGAAAUUCGUAGAUAUUCGGAGGAACACCAGUGGCGAAGGCGGCUCACUGGCUCGAUACUGACGCUGAGGUGCGAAAGCGUGGGGAGCAAACAGG